rnacentral:rRNA from 1 species
CCUACGGGAGGCAGCAGUGAGGAAUAUUGGUCAAUGGUCGCGAGCCUGAACCAGCCAAGUAGCGUGAAGGAGGACUGCCCUACGUAUUGUAAACUUCUUUUAUAAAGGAAUAAAGUCUGGCACGCGUGCCUUGUUGUGUGUACUUGAUGAAUAAGCAUCGGCUAACUCCGUGCCAGCAGCCGCGGUAAUACGGAGGAUCCGAGCGUUAUCCGGAUUUAUUGGGUUUAAAGGGUGCGUAGGCGGACUGUUAAGUCAGCGGUAAAAGCCCGGGGCUCAACCCCGGCGAGCCGUUGAAACUGGCUGUCUGGAGAUGUCGAGAGGUAUGCGGAAUGCGCAGUGGAGCGGUGAAAUGCUUAGAUAUUGCGCAGAACUCCGAUUGCGAAGGCAGCAUGCCGGCGGCGAUCUGACGCUGAGGCACGAAAGCGUGGGUAUCGAACAGGAUUAGAUACCCGAGUAGUC